rnacentral:rRNA from 1 species
UGGAAUAUUGCACAAUGGGCGAAAGCCUGAUGCAGCGACGCCGCGUGAGGGAUGACGGCCUUCGGGUUGUAAACCUCUUUCAGCAGGGAAGAAGCGCAAGUGACGGUACCUGCAGAAGAAGCGCCGGCUAACUACGUGCCAGCAGCCGCGGUAAUACGUAGGGUGCGAGCGUUGUCCGGAAUUAUUGGGCGUAAAGAGCUUGUAGGCGGUCUGUCGCGUCUGCUGUGAAAACCCGAGGCUCAACCUCGGGCCUGCAGUGGGUACGGGCAGACUAGAGUGCGGUAGGGGAGAACGGAACUCCUGGUGUAGCGGUGGAAUGCGCAGAUAUCAGGAGGAACACCGAUGGCGAAGGCAGGUCUCUGGGCCGCAACUGACGCUGAGGAGCGAAAGCAUGGGGAGCGAACAGGAUUAGGUACCCUGGUAGUCCAUGCCGUAAACGUUGGGCACUAGGUGUGGGGCUCAUUCCACGAGUUCCGUGCCGCAGCUAACGCAUUAAGUACCCCGCCUGGGGAGUACGGCCGCAAGGCUAAAACUCAAAUGAAUUGACGGA